rnacentral:lncRNA from 1 species
GAAUAUCUUGCUGUGCUGUUCACUACUGUGGUUGGUAGGCUUUGCAGCUGGCUAGGACUUUAAUUGCUUUUCUCCCUAGGCAGUUUGAUACUAUAAAAGCUAGUGUUCUAGGAGGUUAGUUCCAGCCUAGUUCAAGUUCUCUGUUUGAUGUAUGUAGUGUCUUCAGCAAUAGAGGCUCACUUCCAAGUUCCAGGAGAAAACCAAAGGCAACAGCAUAGCUUCUAGCUACAUUUUAAAAAGUCUUAACAGUAUCAUGAGAUAUAAACAUAUAGGAUAACAAGUAAACAUAUGUUUGUUUUCUGCCUCUGUAAACAGUACAGAUUAGCAUAUGUAGAUAAAGCCUUAAAUCCAAAAAAAAAAAAAAAAACAGACAAGCACAAUGUUCUAUUGACUAUUACACAUAAUCACAUGCUUGAGUUCUUGCCCUUUCGUUGAUUUCUUCUUGAGAUAUGUGUAUGUGCACGUGGACAUGUGUGUGUGUGUGUAGCAGAGCACUUACUUCUCUAUAGCAAAAAAAAAGCAAUCUAUGUCCUCUUUUUCCUAUCUUUAUACCUGUUCUUACACACACACGUACAAAAUUACGUGUUUGAUUUAUUGAUGUCCUCUUUCUAUUCCUUACUAUUUACCAUGUAAAUUCAUGCUAAGUGUUUAGGAUUAACAUUGAUGUAGCAUCAUGUUUUUAUAUUUUUAACAUUUUUUUCAAUGUCCUUGUUUUAUAGUGAGUCCUUCCACAACUAAUAUAGUCCUAAUAUAUUUUGCCUUCUAUGCCUGAAUAAUUACUAUGGCACUUUUAUAAUUUGCUUAAAUUCAUUGCAAGAUUAAUUGUUUCCACUGCAGAUGUUGAGGAUUAAUCUUCAUUCACAAAGUGCUUAAUUUUAAUAUUUUCAUUAAUUAAUUAUAUUUUAGUUUUUGUAGUUCUUUGUGUGUGGUUGAGGCCUCGUGGGUUUUUCCUAAUCUAGUUUGGCGUGUUCACUGAUAUCAUCCUUGUUCAGCUCACAUUCAAGCAGUCAUGUUGGUGAGGCACAGGAUCUGGUGCUACUAGGAGACACAGUUUCACCAUAAACUCCCUGGUGUUCUGGUUCUUGUAAUCUUUUUGAGCCUCUUCUGCAAUGUUCCCUGAGCCUUGGGUAUAGGACUAUUUUGUAGUUGUAUCCAUUGGCACUGGAUUCCACAGCUCUGCAUGGUGAUUGGCUGUGGUCUUCUGUAGUGGUCUCCUAGAGACGCUUCUUUGAUGAAACAUAAAGACUACAUUUAUCUGGAGGUCUAAGGACAGCUGUUAAUAGAUUGUUGUUUGGGAUUAUGCUAUUUUAGUACAUUGGUGCUUGUAGAUUCUCCAUUCUUUUUUCUUCUUCUUCUUUUUUUUUUAGUAGAUAUUUCCUUUAUUUACAUUUCAAAUGUCAUCCCCUUUCCUAGUUUCCCCUCC